ACCACAAUUCACCAACAUCAUAGAGCCUGCUCCAGUUUCCUGAAAGGCACCUCUGCUUUUCACUGUGAUGUGUGUUAAAAUGGACUCCUGACAACAUUUCAGCAGAUUGCCACUAUGGGUCUGAGGAAUCCAGAUGACACACACUGUCUAUUAGAGCUGGACUAUACAGACUGAGAAAUCAUCUCUGAAAGAAGAUCAGUGUGUGUACUAACUAAUAGAAGUGUAAAUGUUACAUUGAAACAUUCCACUUAAAUAUAUGUAACAGGAACAAAGGUCUGUGUAAAUAGAUU